rnacentral:ribozyme from 1 species
UGCGAAUUCAGACCAGAGGUUUAAUCGGCACUGAAUUUCAACUUUCGCACUUGGCACUAGACCCCUUGGGCAAAUUUAUCUCAUCCGUUAUUUCACAACAAAUCGGCACAAGGAAUCAGAAGUAAUCUUUCAACUUUAAGUAUUUUACCCAAGAGUAGUUCGAGAUCUGCUAAGACAACUAUUCGACGCUGUCAUAUCCGGGAAUGGACGAAUCAGGCCAGCCGUUGAGCACGUUUCAGAAGUGUAAACUAGACUUCAAGAAAACACUCAUCGC